rnacentral:rRNA from 1 species
GACAGAGGAUGCAAGCGUUAUCCGGAAUGAUUGGGCGUAAAGCGUCUGUAGGUGGCUUUUUAAGUCCGCCGUCAAAUCCCAGGGCUCAACCCUGGACAGGCGGUGGAAACUACCAAGCUGGAGUACGGUAGGGGCAGAGGGAAUUUCCAGUGGAGCGGUGAAAUGCGUAGAUCUUGGAAAGACCACCAAUGGCGAAGGCACUCUACUGGGCCAUAACUGACACUAAGAGACGAAAGCUAGGGGAGCAAAUGGG